rnacentral:rRNA from 1 species
CGGAGGGUCCAAGCGUUAUCCGGAAUCAUUGGGUUUAAAGGGUGCGCAGGCGGUAAAGUAAGUCAGUGGUGAAAUCCCUUCGCUCAACGAAGGAACUGCCAUUGAUACUGCUAUACUUGAAUAUAGUCGAAGUGGGCGGAAUGUGACAUGUAGCGGUGAAAUGCUUAGAUAUGUCACAGAACACCGAUAGCGAAGGCAGCUCACUAGACUAACAUUGGCGCUCAUGCACGAAAGCGUGGGGAGCGAACAGGAUUAGAUACCCUGGUAGUCCACGCUGUAAACUAUGAUUACUCGUUCUCGGCGAUAUACGGUCGGGGACUAAGCGAAAGUGAUAAGUAAUCCACCUGGGGAGUACGGUCGCAAGAUUG